UACUUGAUCUAUUUGUCCAAUUCUUCCGGGCAUUGGCAAGAAAGGAAAGGUAAGACGGGUCCAGACAUGGUUUGAGGUAGGCCUGCGUGGAAUGUUCCUUUACUUCAAGCUGAUGUGUGUUCCGUUGAUGGUUUUUAAUGUACCAUUGGGCUAGCCUAAACCCUUAGAAGAAUACAGUUCCCGGAGCUCAAUUUGGCAUGAUGGUCUCAAGCUCUAGACUUUUGCCCUUCAAAGAUUUUUGGGUUCUCAAAACUACAACUCAGAAGCAACUAUAUUUCAGUGUCACAUAUUUGAUUCAGAAAGGUGGGCAUGGACGCAAUUUAAUGGUAAGACGAAAGCGAUUCCUUAUCAAUUGGUCUGGGAUGGAGAUUGUGCAAGUAUAAUUGAUUUUCAUGGUGGAAAAGAACCUAGUGCAUAGGAUUGUGGGUUAUGGACAAAAGUUACCGAAAUGAAUGGACAUAGAAACAUAAUGUUUGUGUUAAAAAGCUUAUGCAAAGGCUAUGCCUUUCAUCGGCCAGGCCUUUAGGUUUUUGUAACAGUGAUGUUUUCAAUGCUCAUAGAUGGUAACUCCGACCAGCUGAUAUACUACCAUUUUCAAUUAAAUCAUGGGGCCUAACAAAUUCUGCUUGCACAACAGUUUGUUCCAUUUCGAAUCAGAAUUUGUGUCUAUUAAUUUAAUUCUUCCGGAACAAUCAGAUUUAGAGCCUAUUAAUUUAACUCUUCCCUCGAGCAUUACUUUGACCCUCCUCUUUCCUGUAUCAGUUACUAUGGUCUUCCUCUUUUUAUUCCUAGCCAUUCUGUUUUGUUUUACUAGAUUUAUGACACACAAUUAUAAAGAAGAUUCGACGGUUUUUUUAUCUUGGAUGUAUAUGAUUUUGCAAGGCCUUGGCUAUCUAUCAUUAUUACCUCAAAAGGCAUAUUAUAGCAAUCGACGAUUCCUCCAAUACACAAUUUUUUUUUUCUACCUAGUUUUUUGUUCGACAUAUAUUUCUAAGACAAACAUUUCAACACACCAAAAUUUAACGUCUUUUUGGUGAAUGACUUUAGUUAAAUACUUUAACCUCUGCACAAGUAAAUAUUAUAACCACUCCCAAAAAAUAUAAAUAAUGGUCGUCAAACGGACAAAAACUUCUAUGUACAGAUACAUAUAAGAGUUCAAUUCUUAAUCUUCAACAGUCAUGAAACCUUUCCCCACUUUCACACUUUAAACGAACACCAAGAAUUACAUAAAAAAUAAAAUAAAAUAAAAUUUCCAGCAUCCAAAAAGAUACAGCCACAGCAAAGCUUCACUAAAGGAAAUCAAUGUACAAAAUACACUAUGAACUAAUCUAAAUCCUCAAAGCUUCUCAAGAAAUGGAAGCAGACAAACUGAAUGAACUUAACACAUUACAU